GAUCCUGGCUCAGAAUCAACGCUGGCGGCGCGCUUAACACAUGCAAGUCGCACGAGAAAGCCCGCAAGGGUGAGUACAGUGGCGUACGGGUGAGUAACACGUGGAUGAUCUACCUUCUAGCGGGGAAUAACCCUGGGAAACCGGGGCUAAUACCGCAUAAGCUCGAGAGAGGAAAGCAGCAAUGCGCUGGAAGAGGAGUCCGCGGCCGAUUAGCUAGUUGGCAGGGUAAAAGCCUACCAAGGCGGAGAUCGGUAGCCGGCCUGAGAGGGCACACGGCCACACUGGCACUGAAACACGGGCCAGACUCCUACGGGAGGCAGCAGUGGGGAAUCUUGCACAAUGGGGGAAACCCUGAUGCAGCGACGCCGCGUGAGCGAUGAAGCCCUUCGGGGUGUAAAGCUCUUUCGGCAGGGAAGAUGAUGACGGUACCUGCAGAAGCAGCUGCGGCUAACUACGUGCCAGCAGCCGCGGUAAUACGUAGGCAGCGAGCGUUGUUCGGAGUUACUGGGCGUAAAGGGUGUGUAGGCGGUUGUUUAAGUUUGGUGUGAAAUCUCCCGGCUCAACUGGGAGGGUGCGCCGAAUACUGAAUGACUUGGAGUGCGGGAGAGGAAAGUGGAAUUCCUGGUGUAGCGGUGAAAUGCGUAGAUAUCAGGAGGAACACCGGUGGUGUAGACGGCUUUCUGGACCGUA
rnacentral:rRNA from 1 species